rnacentral:rRNA from 1 species
CAGUCGCCGCGGUAAUACGUAGGUGGCAAGCGUUGUCCGGAAUUAUUGGGCGUAAAGGGCUCGCAGGCGGUUUCUUAAGUCUGAUGUGAAAGCCCACGGCUCAACCGGGGAGGGUCAUUGGAAACUGGGAAAAUUGAGUGCAGAAGGGGAGAGUGGAAUUCCACGUGUAGCGGUGAAAUGCGUAGAGAUGUGGAGGAACACCAGUGGCGAAGGCGACUCUCUGGUCUGUAACUGACGCUGAGGAGCGAAAGCGUGGGGAGCGAACAGGAUUAGAUACCCCCGUAGUCCCUGUCUCUUAUAA